ensembl:snoRNA
AAGCUAGCCAAUGAAUCUGCUUACCUAAACAUGUUUCUGCAGAAAUUUUUAUUUUAAAAAGCUGGUAAUAGUAAAGCCAUUUAUGAGCCUUAAGUAUAUUGAAGUUGUUAAGAUCCCUGAAAAUGGCUAUAACA